CGGCGGUUUCUAGAAAUUGAUGGAAACGGUGGGGAAAAAUACACGAACUAGAUCUAACAAGACAUAACCAGCAACAAGACCUCGACCAGGACACAAACUAAAAACUGCGAAGUCUCAAAUUGAAAUAUGCAAAGGCUAUGGCGCGGAAGGGUUGUAGGACAGGAAAAUGAUAUGACACUGGACUUAUGGGACGAACACAAGAACACUCGAAACUAAAGGUAGAUGUAAAACCAACGGUAUACAUGAAGCUUUGAUUACCACUUGAUGAGAACAAGGGUGGCCUGAUCUUCCGAAAGGUUCUGGUACUCUCGAUUUGGUCGAGACGAGACACAAAUCGAUCCGGCUUCCGAACAACACGAUCUGAAACCCUGCAAAUUUUUUUUUAUUUUUUUGAUAUUUUUCUUUUACUUUGGAGCACUAAAGAAGUAACCACAGAAAAUUUGAGCUUAAACAAGUGAAAGACGUGGCCUGUGGAAUUUUCUGAAGAUUGCAAAAAAUGUGAAAAAAAAUCACAAGGCGAAAAACUCAAACUUCAGGGGCGAAUUUGGAGAUUAUAAAAUUUUCAAACCCGCCAAUGGCGAGGACAGACUGAUCCGAAAUUUUUUUUUGAUUGAUUUUGAUAUAACGGUAUACCUGAAGCUUUGAUUACCACUUGAUGAGAACAAGGUUGACCCGAUCUUCAGAAAGGUUAUGAUAACUCUCGGUUUGGUUGAGACGAGACACAAAUCGAUCCGGCUUUCAAACAACACGAUUCGAAAGUCUGCAUUUUUUAUUUUUUUGAUAUUUUUCUUUUACUUAGGAGCACUAAAGAACUAACCAUAGAAAAUUUGAGCUUAAACAAGUGAAAGACGUGGCCUGCGGAAUUUUAUGAAGAUUGCAAAAAAUGUGAAAAAACUUCACGAGGUGAAAACUCAAACUUCGGAGGCAAAUUUGGAGCUUCCAAAAUUUUCAAACCCGCCAGUGGUAGGGACAGGCAGAUCCAAAUUUUUUUUCUCAUCGAUUUUGAUAUAUGGAACAUUGAAAUCGGAGUUCGUACGUGAAUGUUAUGGCUAUUUUACGAACGGACUUCGAAUAAGAGAACAAAACGGUCCAAAAGUGGGAAAAUUUGCGGCGGUGGCUAGAAAUUGAUGGAAACGGUGGGGAAAAACACACGAACUAGACUCUAACAAGACCUAACCAGCAACAAGACCUCGACUAGGACACAAACUCAACACUACGGACUCUGAAACGGAAAUAUGCAAAGGCUAUGCGCGGAACGGUUGUAGGACAAGAAAACGAUAUGGCACUGGACUUAUGGGACGAACACAAUAACACUCGAAACUAAGGGU
rnacentral:lncRNA from 1 species